rnacentral:lncRNA from 1 species
UUUAAUCGCCAGAUCUGUCUGUUCCUAUUCUUUCUUAGAGAAACCUAAAACACAAACCCUCCAUCUACUCUCACUCUCUCUUGCGAUUCUAUACCUAGAAUAAACUCAUCUCUGGAUCCACUUUCAAGUCGACCCCAAUCACCGAUUUCCUCUGGUUAUGCUAAAAACGUCUAGGGAUUUGCAGAUCUUGAAAAGAGAAGAGAAAUAUAAAGAGAACGUUGCGGGCUAUGACCUCCGACGACGAUAAAGCAGGUCAUCACCUAAGUUCAGCACAUAAGCAGGGUUUGCUGUGUUAAGGGAUGGCCAAAGAAGGGAUUACAUCAUCAUCCCAGCAUCAGCAACUUUCUUUCUUUUCAAAACUGCAGCAUACCAGGAGUAUAAUAAGACUAAACAUCCACAACUUUUGUAUGAAGCUAGGAGUACAAUGUUCACUCUGAAUGAUAUGAUUUGUAAUGUUUUAGUUUCACUUGUAGGUGGUAUACCUUCCAUAAGGUCCGGUGUAGAUGGAGAGGAUAAUGUUUUAAUUAUUGAUUUGCUAGGACCGAGUCUUGAGGACCCGUUUGUGUAUUGUGGGAGGAACUUUCAUUUGAAAACAGUCUUGAUGUUGGCUGAUUAAAUGGUAAGUUGUGUAUAUACCAUAUUUGAACAUUGUACCUCUUUUAUAUGGAUGUCACCUUCCAGGUGGAUUUAUGGUUUUUCACAAUCAGGUGCUAAAAACGCUCUGCACCAGCCUGAGUGGGCCUGAACCAGCCUUGUGGUUCCUUUGUUUGACUUAAAUCCACUCUAUAGUCAUCUCUCUUGCCAAAUUUCAUUAAAACCACACUAAAAAAUAUAGUACACUUAAAAAAUAUAUAUGAGAUCUAUCAUCUGUAUGAUCAGUAUUUUACCCAGAGCGAUCAGGAGAAGCUGCUUGCUAGGUACUCUUUUAUAACUAAACUUGCAUGGAAUUUGUUUGAUUGUCUGAUUUUUCUGAAUGCUAUGGGGCUCUUUUUGUUUCUUUGUAAAUAUGGAGUAUUUUUUAAGAACGGGUAUCUGUAAGUUUGGAGCAUCUUGUAAGUUUCACAAUUCUAGACAUACGGGUGGAUCUUUGAGUGACGGUUUUAGUUUUUUAUUUGAAGUUAUUGGUCUAAAUGAUUACCUGGUAGCUAAUGUUGUUAUUUUUUACCAUGUUGAGGUUAGUCAAAACUGUUUUUUCUAUAAUUAUUUUUAAUUUUUGAAUUAAGUGAUAUUAACACUUGUAUUGUGGAGGUUAAAAUUGAUCUAAGUUACAGGGUCUAUGAUGCUGGUCUUUAUGGCGGAUUUAUGUGUGGCCGAGGGGUAGCCCGGUAUACCCCUCAAUUUUUUCCGCGAAGUGCAAUUUUAUGUUAGGUAAAGAUAAAAAUGAAAGGAAGUUUUGUGGUUGACGGAAACGAAAGUUUCCUAUAGACUGCAGCGAUGUUUUCCGAUGGACUGCAGCAGCACUUGUUAUUUAUUGGAGAAGAUGAAGUUAUAUGUUUAUAUUAAUAUAUUUAUAUGGUCAUGGGGAACAUGAAUGAAAAUCAAACUGCAAAAUCGAAUUAAUAAAUUGGUCAAACUUGAAUUAUAUUUAUCCAUGCAAUAUGGAUUUGGGCUGGGUCGAAGUUGGGUAUUAUUUGAGUUCUUCUUUCAGUGUGAGGUGUGGUGGGUGACUUGGGUUUUGGGUUAGAAGAUGACCCGACAGAAGAAGACGCUUGCGGUUGUCAAUUUGGAUAGUAUUUAUGUGAAUUGCGUGCGUGUUUGAUCCAAUUGAAGAUGACCCCACAGAAGAAGACGCUUGAGGCGGGAAUCCAGCCAAUAUAAUUCAGUGCUUGAAACAUGUGGACUUAAAGGAUGUUGCAAGACCCGUUGCGUUUCUAGCCAAAAUGACGGGUCAUGGGCCACUGGUUGUACAACUCCUUGGCAAGGGUCUGCUGAAUCCAAAUUCAAUGAGACGGUUACUUGAUAAUUCUUCACCAAGGGAAGUCAAACUGGAUGUUCUAAUGAUAGUUUCAGAUGUAGCUCGUAUGCAUAAGGAUUUUUAUGAGCACAUAAAGGGAGCAGACAUCUUGGAACACUUGAAAGGCUUUCUUACACAUGAAGAUCCUAAUAUACGUGCUAAGUAGUGCAGUGCUCUAGGAAACAUGUGCCGACAUAACUCCUACUUCUAUAGCUUGUUGUCUUUGACUAAUACUCGGGCAUUUUUUUCUUGGAUUGUUGAGCCUUCAUUAUUAAUCUUGGGGAUAUGAUGGAACGAUGGACAAAUUGUUGUUCAGAUAACACUACGCCGAGUUAUGCCAACUGGGAAAGAGCGAUAUUCUAUGGCGUUGUUUUUGGAUCCUAAUCCCGAUUGUAUUGUUGAGUGCUUGAAAAGCUGCUGCAGCAACUCAUCUCCUCCAAGGUUUCCUCCAAUACAUAGUGGAGACCACCUGAGGGAUCGUAUCAAUGCUGCCUAUUCCUCUUCCUCAUAGAAUGUAUUUGCAGUUGCUAUCUUAAAAGUCUUGAGUUAUUGUAUAAUCAAAGAUAUAACUUUAUAAAAAAUGUUUUAUGUAGUAUGGAUACAAGAUUUUUUACUACCCCAAUGAUUUUAGUUCUAGGUGUAACUAAAUGUUCAUUUUUAUGUUUAUUU